rnacentral:rRNA from 1 species
UGGGCGCAAGCCUGAUGCAGCCAUGCCGCGUGUAUGAAGAAGGCCUUCGGGUUGUAAAGUACUUUCAGCAGUGAGGAAGGCGGAGUCCGUUAAUAGCGGCCUCGUUUGACGUUAGCUGCAGAAGAAGCACCGGCUAACUCCGUGCCAGCAGCCGCGGUAAUACGGAGGGUGCGAGCGUUAAUCGGAAUUACUGGGCGUAAAGCGCAUGCAGGUGGUUUGUUAAGUCAGAUGUGAAAGCCCCGGGGCUCAACCUCGGAAUUGCAUUUGAAACUGGCAGACUAGAGUACUGUAGAGGGGGUAGAAUUUCAGGUGUAGCGGUGAAAUGCGUAGAGAUCUGAAGGAAUACCGGUGGCGAAGGCGGCCCCCUGGACAGAUACUGACACUCAGAUGCGAAAGCGUGGGGAGCAAACAGGAUUAGAUACCCUGGUAG